rfam:Rattus norvegicus chromosome 5, whole genome shotgun sequence.
GGAGGUAAAGAGGAUCUGGUUGUGGCUUCUGUCACUCAGUUCAUUAGCAGGGUUAAUCUGGCUGAUCUGGCUGGCUAGCUGAUGCCUCUUGUUUUCUCACUGCUUGAUGUGUGUCCUUCCAGAAGCUGCAGGCCUGUUUGAAGAUGACAAUCUUAACUGAUGAAGGAGCAUUAUUCUUCUAUCAAGGGCAUGUGAAAAGUUGAGUUCUGCUUCUAGAACCCAUUAACAAGCUCUCAUGGUCCACCAUUUCCUAAUAGUGUCACAGGCGUUGUGACCAAUCUUUGAUGAAUGGAACCUUGAAUCUAAACUAUAGAGUUUCUCAUCUCCACGAUGUGUGUGUGUGUGUGUGUGUGUGUGU